AGCUUUCAUCAUUACCAGCAUAGCCCCGUCUGAGGUAGUAGGUUGUAAAGUUAGAGUUACAUCACUCACUGGCGAACUGUACAACCUCCUAGCUUUCCUGGGGUCUUGCAAGGCAACUGUGUUUCACAG
rnacentral:pre_miRNA from 10 species